rnacentral:lncRNA from 1 species
CUGUGGUGUAAAAUAUAUUGUAAUAUAGAUACAAGAUAUUUGGUCCCUAUGCCUACCGAUAUUCCAAGGUUUUGAAAGAAACCAAUCGGAAUAAUCAUAUAACCCAUUGAAAAAGAGGAGGUGCGUAAAUUUCUCGACGCAUGGACAUAGAGGUCCACGCGUGACGAGGCUACCCACACAUGCGCUGAGCGUGUAGUUCAACCUAAAUGCCCCAUGCACACGCAUGCCCAUGCGUGCCCACAUGAACCAUGUGCACGAGUGUACGACUGCGCCGAUG